rnacentral:rRNA from 1 species
GAUGAACGCUGGCGGCGUGCUUAACACAUGCAAGUCGAACGAAACACCUUAUUUGAUUUUCUUCGGAACUGAAGAUUUGGUGAUUGAGUGGCGGACGGGUGAGUAACGCGUGGGUAACCUGCCCUGUACAGGGGGAUAACAGUCAGAAAUGACUGCUAAUACCGCAUAAGACCACAGCACCGCAUGGUGCAGGGGUAAAAACUCCGGUGGUACAGGAUGGACCCGCGUCUGAUUAGCUGGUUGGUGAGGUAACGGCUCACCAAGGCGACGAUCAGUAGCCGGCUUGAGAGAGUGAACGGCCACAUUGGGACUGAGACACGGCCCAAACUCCUACGGGAGGCAGCAGUGGGGAAUAUUGCACAAUGGGGGAAACCCUGAUGCAGCGACGCCGCGUGAGUGAAGAAGUAUUUCGGUAUGUAAAGCUCUAUCUGCAGGGAAGAAAAUGACGGUACCUGACUAAGAAGCCCCGGCUAACUACGUG